GUUGCUGCAACAUAACUGAAUAUUCAAGGGUAAACUAAAAUAAUUUAUUUACCCCUUUUUGGUUUAAAUUCCAUUGAACAAACCGUCUCUACUUUUUCAAAAAAUGUUAAAUUUUGACCAUAAAGAUUAAAUUCUUAAACAGUCAGAAUUUGUAAAACAUUAAAUGUCUGAUUUUUUAUAUAAUUUUCGCAAUUAAUCACUAUCAAAACGCGCCCCAAACACACCCUAAAUCUUAAAAGGCC